rnacentral:lncRNA from 1 species
AACCUCUGGAUUAGUGGAUCUUCAAUAUUUGUUCAAGCAUAUAGCAAAUAAUCUGUUGCCCUAGGGUACAGGUGUUACUCCCCCUUUUUGUCAAAAGUGUUGCCAAAGCAACACUUAAAAAUUACAGACCAAAAUAAAAUAAAAUUAAACAAAACUGGCAGAAACCCAGGAAAUGAUUUAAUCAUCUGACUCAGAGUCAGCCUCAUCAUCAGUGCCAUCAUCAGGACUGGCAUCCUCUUCACCCUCUGCAUUUUGCGUUGCAGCUUCUUCU